ensembl:ncRNA lncRNA:CR44302 long non-coding RNA:CR44302
AAUCAAAGUUUACUUUCUUGUAAUUGUGAUUUCAAUAAAAAAAAAGUGACAUUAGAAUGAAUCUGAUUUUUUGCCCAGUGUAGCCACUUGUUAACGACACUUCAGCACAAUUCCCAAUGGCUAACACUGGUCAGCGAGCGUCAUUGCAAAACGGCCAAAUGGCAUAAUGGCCAAGUCAAAAAAGAGCUGGACAAAUUGAAAAGGAAAGUGCCCCUGACCGGAAAACUCAAACAAGCCGAGAAGGAAAAGCAAACAGCCGGGCUGAACAAAAGUGCAUGCUCAUCGCACAAUCACAACGUGCACAACCUCCGGAGUGGAGUACCUAUUACCUCACCCUAUUUGCCGCCAACUGAAUGGAUCUGUCAUCAAUUUUAAUGACUUUGGACAAAAUGCGAAUCGAGGGCGAUUCGGGCCAUUUGAAGGUCGUCUCUAAGUGUGAAAAUGCCCAAGUUAGGGCUGCAAAAGUGCAAUUUUAAAACUCUCGACGAAGUAGGGGG